rnacentral:rRNA from 1 species
AGCCUGAACGCUGGCGGCGUGGCUAAGACAUGCAAGUCGAACGGGUGUAGCAAUACACCAGUGGCGGACGGGUGAGUAAUGAAUCGCUAAUGUACCCCGGAGCCAGGGAUAGCUGCCCGAAAGGGCAGGUAAUACCUGAUGAGACCACAGUACCGCAUGGUACGGUGCUCAAAGCCGCAAGGCACUCUGGGAGCAGGCGAUUUUGUAUCAGCUAGUUGGUGAGGUAAUGGCUCACCAAGGCGACGACGCAUAGCCGGACUGAGAGGUUGGCCGGCCACAUUGGGACUGAGACACUGCCCAGACUCCUACGGGGGGCUGCAGUAACGAAUCUUCCGCAAUGCACGAAAGUGUGACGGAGCGACGCCGCGUGUAGGACGAAGCCCUUCGGGGUGUAAACUACUGUCAGGGGAAGAAAGUUCUGAUCUACCCCAGAGGAAGAGACGGCUAACUCUGUGCCAGCAGCCGC